GGACAGGAGAGGAGUGGGGAAAUAGGCCACUUAGGCCCCCGGGGAGGAUGACAACCAGGGAAAUACACCAGAGCGCUCUCCGACAGGGCCUCUGAGGUCGGAGGCCGAGUCCGUCUGCGGGCUCUACCCCGGGGCCGAUCCAGUUCAGGGAGGUCAAAAAGGCAGCUCUGAACGCGCCCAACCGGGACUGGAAACAUGUAAAACCCUCGGUUCAGCCCGAUUCCUCCUCGUCCAGGCAGCUUGUCUUGGGGGCACCCUAACCUCUCCGAACCUCAAUUUCCCCAUCUUGGGGAUCACUGAGGCCGGAAGUUGUAGAAGCACCUAGGAAGCUACGGGGUCCUGCAUCGGGACCAGUUUCCGGCUGUGCGCUCCCCAAUUCGGCCAGUUCGCCACUUGAGACCUGCCAGUUUCUGGAUUUUAAUGGCCUUUUCUCCCAGGCAGAGGUGAAAGAAACCCGGGGAGCCUCCUGGAAAUCCCAUUGACUUGGCAGAAAGAAGAGCUGGACGAUGACUAGAAGGUUCCGGAAGACAUCAUGGGGAGACAUCUCAGGAAGGGAAAGUCAAUUAUCCAUAAGGACUCGGGGGCGGUGCUCCCCAUCGAAGGCUGGUGUCAGGAAAGACUCUGAGGUCAGAAUCCAGACACGGGAUUGGAGGUGCUGAUGAACUCUGCUGCAGCACAGACUUUGGGGAGACGGUGAGAAAAAGGAGGAAAUGGGGCCCCCCUGCUUUCUCAUCUUCUCGUCUCUCCUGCACACUCCGAAGAACUCCAGCGAGGUUAGCAGUGGAGCUGAGAUUGGAAGAGGACUCAAAGAAUGGAAGAUGUCAGCGAUCUACCAGUAGUAUGGGAGUCUCCAAGAAUCCAGGUUUAACAUUCAAAGCAAAGACCCCUCACCUGGAGGCCUCCAUCCACCUGAGCAUUCUUCAAGGAUCUCCUUGGGUCCCAGGUUAUCUAAUUUUUGGAUGGAGAGGGGAGCAGAGGACAGGCCAUCCAGACGGCAUUGAAGGGACUUCCCUGGUGUUGCAGUGAUUAGACUCUGCCUGCCAAUGUAAGGGGCCCAGGUUCCAUCCCUGGUCAGGGAACUAGAUCUCACAUGCUGCAACUAAUAAGAGUUCAGAUGCUGCCACUAAAGAUCCUGCAUGCCAAAACCAAGACCUGGAGCAGCCAAAAAAAAAAAAAAAAAAAAAUAUAUAUAUAUAUAUACAAGACAGCAUUGAAGACUAAAGACCUGUAUGUGUUCAGGAUCAGGAGUUCUGUUUUCAUUUCUUUACUGAGACUAUGGGCAAGUUGCGGAACUUGUCACUUGAUCAAAUCUGUCAAAAAUGAGAACGUUUACCCCCCUAUUGGUAAAGAACCUGCCUGCCAGUGCAGGAGAUGUGAGAUGCAGGUUCGAUCCCUGGGUCGGGAAGAUUCCCUGGAGGAGGGCAUGGCAACCCACUGCAGUGUUCUUGCCUGGAGAAUCCUAUGGGCAGAGGAGCCUGGCGGGCUACAGAGUUGGGACACAACUGAAAAGACUUAGCACAGCCCCAUCCCAUUGGACUGUGGAGACCAGGAAAUGAAGAGGGGUGAAGAGAAGCCCCCGCGUGGGGCUGGCACCCAAGAGGUCAUGAGCAGAGGAGCACGUGGGCUAGCCCAGCCUGUGCCUUCACUCUGCCUGAGAAGUUGGAGUCUCUGAGUUUCUGAAGCUGCCCGCUUGGCUUCAGAAGAGAGAGAUUCCCAGACGUUUUCAGUGCUCCAGAUAUGCCCAGACUUGCAGGUGCCAUUUUGAAUUUUCGAGAGGCCCUUGACUUAAGGGUGUGAGUUCACAGAAAAUGCUUUUGUCUAACUUGUAACCCUAUCUUGACCGAUGCAGAUUUCCCCCCCAGCCCAGGGAGGGGAAUGGGAGUCCUCCGAAGACCCUGCCCACCUUUUAUCUCAUGGCUUGUUCCAAUAGUUUGGGAGAUAGGCCAGGGAGAUACCAAUGUCCCCAAGAUCCCCAGGAGAGAUCAGCUGUUGACUUCAAAGAGUCAGUGCCUUUGGAUCAGAAGGAUGGAGGGUGAGUGAUUCCAGCAACUUUGCAAGCAGUGAGGUCCCCUGGCCAGCUGGACUGACAGGUCUUGCGCUUUCAUUUAAAGGAGCAAUUGAUCAGAGACGAUGAUGGGGGUUUUGUGGCUUCAUGCAUGUCUCCCAGGAUGCUCAGGGAGACAAGGAAAGGGGUAUCAUUAAAGUUGAGUUACACUUAUGUACCACAUGCCCUGUGAGGUCAGGUGAAUGCUACGCGUAGGACAGGAAAUCGAGGCAGCGAAACAUCUUGCCCAGGGGCCACCCAGCUGUUAAGAUAAGAAAGAAGGGCUUGGCUCCUUCUAUUCUAGCUGACACUUCCUCCUUCCACUCCGAGUUUCAUUACCUUGAAUUUAGCACCUGCUGUCUUGCCUGGAAAAUCCCAUGGACAGAAGAGCCUGGUGGGCUACAGUUCAUGGGGUUGCACAGACUCAGACGCGACUGAAGUGACCAAGCAGUAGCAGUGUGAGGUUAUACGGGGAGGAGGCGCCCAAGACCUCUCUGACCUGUUUACAUCACCUGGCCCUUGUCCUCUGGAUUCC
ensembl:lncRNA